CGUCAAUCAUCGUGGCUUUUUGCUUUUUAGAACGGUAUAUUUAGCUCCCCAGGCCUACUAGGACAUUCUAUUGUAGUCUUAAGUGUCACAACCAUACAUGGAAGCUAUAAUUUUGAAUUUGAUAUCUUGAGUUUCCUAUUGAAUGCGAAUUUUUGAUGCUCAUCAUGUGUCUCUUCGCAGAAGCUUCUUUUGCCUUCUUAGUUGGUAUGGUCUUCAAUGAAUGUCAUUCUUAGUAGAAUCAAGCUUCGUUGUUUGUGAUCGGUCGGGAAAGAUGCAGCAGUUCCCAGGCCUUUGAUUAUGUGUCUGAUUUUUCAGUCUCUCAAAGCUUUAUCAAAACUUGUAUGAUAUGUAUGGACUGAGGAGACCUGUCAAUUGUAGAAAAUAACGUCUACAGAAUGCUUGGCCUCCUGUGCUGGAAGUGAGAUCCGAAGGUUUAUGAAGGAUGAGUGUUCUGUUCAGGCGGCUGUGUCGGAUCAAGUUUUAAUUAACGAGCAAGAACUCAAUAUCCUCAAAAUUAUUGUCUCCUCUCACAUGUAUGGAAUGCAGUUAAUGAAUACAGAUGGUGUACAUGUAAUAUUCUAAUGAGUUUAGGUGUUGAAGUUUUCUUUCAGAUACUCAGUAACUUUUAGCAAAAUAAGUUAUUUAGUCUGAAUAAAUUUGAAUUUUGAAUUUUAGUUAGUUUGUUUAUGUUGUUGAGAUAUUUUAGGUUGUUUAAAUUUUCAAUUAUGCAUAUUAUGUAUUUUAUGUUGGCGAUUUAAAACCUCUCAAUGCUUAAUAAAAUUAUUGAAAGCUAUUUUAAUCUAUUGAGAGACAUUCCAAAUUUUUUUGAUCCCCUAUUUCUUUUAAAAAACACCAACAAUAGGUGAGAAGUAGAUUGUUGUUUUGGGUUGUUAUGACGAGUUGGGUGUCUCAUUCUUUGGCUUCUCUUGCAAGCUUAUUUGGUCUCUUUUGAUUUGGGGUUGGUACCUGUUAAGUUAGUAUUUUGGAUGUGAUAAAGCUUUGAGUUCAGGUAGAAAUCAAGGAGAUACUUUUCCUCAAAAUAUUGACUAAUGGAAGUUUAACCCCAGAAGAACCACUUGAACUCAAAAUUCAUAAUGUUUAAAACUUUCUCUUACCUUGAAACAUACCAUAAUUUGGCAGAUGGCGAGAACAUGGAAGGAUUCCAUGUGUAUAGCGAUGGAACUGGUGCAAAAAAUUGAUUUCAGGGUACAUACUGUUCUUUUUUUGUGAAGAUACUUUGUAGCCACAGAACUGGAGAAUCUGCUUUCUGGAUAUAUUACAUAUAUAAUUUUAGUUAUUGAAGGUGAAAUAGAGGAUUUUACAAAUGCAACUUCUUCAUGGUAUGAGAUGUAUGUUGAGUUGUACGAUAGAAUUGAUUUUCACGUUCUGGUCCAGCGUUUCUUCCAAUGUACAAUUCUCCUCAUAAAAAGACUAGGACCAGUUGGAGCCAUGAAAUUUUUAUUUUUUAUCUGCUAUGCAUCUAUGAAGUAAUAUCUAGUCAUUUGAGUCAUGUUUUGCUCUAGUCAGGGCCCAAUAGUUGUCUUGACAUUCUUACUUUUUAGGUGCUAUGCAUCUCCAGAGUAGUAUCUUGUCAUUUGCAGUCUUGUUUGCUGGUCAGGGGCCAAAAGUUGUCUAUCACGUUACAUAAUGUGGGAAAAUUUCAUUAUUUGUCUAGCAUAAAAGCGUCCAAAUUAAGUUGUGAGAAUGUUCCAUAGUAUUCUAACAUAGUGACUUUCCUACGACGAAGUUUGCAACAAUCUACGAGCACUAUGAGUUUGUUUGGUUCUCUUAGUUGAAAUGUUGAGAAUUUUACAAUAUAAUGGAAUAUAGUACUUCUCUUGCACCAUGACUAAGAAUUUUGGUUUUGACGUGGAAUUCUGUCCUUCACUUCUUACCUUGAAGGGUAGUGCCGAGUCUACUUAACUGUCCAGUCUAGUUGUACAACAACAAUUAAAACAACAUACCUCAGUGAAAUUCCAUAAGAGAUUGCUUAAGUGGGGUCUGGGAGGCUAGAACGUAAGUAAACCUUACUAUUUAACUUUGAGGGUCAAAAAGACUUUUCUGAUAGACCUUAGAUGUCACUUCAUAGUCGGUUCCUCCCGGUCUUCAUUUGCUUUUUGUAUAAUCCAUCUUAUUCUAAAGUUGUUGCUAGACUCUGUUUCUUGUGUUUAAGUUUAAUGCAUUUAAUUGAAGUUUAUUUUUUUGGUUCUAUACGAUUUUGCAUUUUUUGGACCCCAAUAGUAGUUCUCCUUGUGGUUUCUUUGGUAGUAGUGUUGGCUUAUUUGUCGCUACAUUGUGUGUUUAGGUGACCGUUGUAACUCCAACUGUUAAAUCAGACGGUCCAAAGCCUGGACUGAGGAAGAGGGAAGGUGUUUUAGUUUUCAAUUGAUUGUCUGUUUUUUAAGUAAUUAGAAGAAAUGUUCCUGGAUUGCCUACAAUGAUCGUUUCUCCUUACUUGUCUUGAGCAAUUCAAAUGGAACAUGUUCUCCUUUAUUCAAAGUAAAACUCUCCAUCUUAUGGCAUCUCUAAUUACAAUUAUCACUUAUCAGCAAUGUACAUAGUUCUUAGAUAGACGUAAAGAGAUGCCUUAGGGGAUUGUCAAACCUGAGUGGUCAGGUGUUCUCGCUUAUCAUGCAAUUGGUAAAUAAAAUUUGUGGCUACUUAAAUUCUUGCUUCAGUGAGAAACUAAAUGUGUUGCUGUCUUCUAGCUUUGGAAUGUAUUUAUGAUCCACCUUAAUGUUGGAAUUAUUGUUCUCCCCUCAUUGGUGUCUAUAGAUGGUUUCCGACACGGUACUCAACUAGGCAUUCGUGUUAAGCCUGACAGUGAAUGCAUUUGCCUAUUCAGGAAUCAUGUGGUGCCUUGCAACACAUGGCUUUGUCAUUUGAAGAAUCAUCACGGUGCUUUUUUCUCUUGAUUGAUCACCCAUUCCAAGCAUCGAUGUGUUUGUUCAAGAAUUAUCACUAAACUUUUAUCUCAUGAUUGAUCACCCAUUGCAAGCUGAUAUUCUUUUUCGCUGUUUGCU